ACUCCUACGGGAGGCAGCAGUGGGAAUAUUGCACAAUGGGGGAAACCCUGAUGCAGCGACGCAGCGUGCGGGAUGACGGCCUUCGGGUUGUAAACCGCUUUCAGCAGGGAAGAAGCGCAAAGUGACGGUACCUGCAGAAGAAGUACCGGCUAACUACGUGCCAGCAGCCGCGGUAAUACGUAGGGUACGAGCGUUGUCCGGAAUUAUUGGGCGUAAAGAGCUCGUAGGUGGUUGGUCACGUCUGCUGUGGAAAACGCAACGCUUAACGUUGCGCGUGCAGUGGGUACGGGCUGACUAGAGUGCAGUAGGGGAGUCUGGAAUUCCUGGUGUAGCGGUGAAAUGCGCAGAUAUCAGGAGGAACACCGGUGGCGAAGGCGGGACUCUGGGCUGUAACUGACACUGAGGAGCGAAAAGCAUGGGGAGCGAACAGGAUUAGAUACCCUGUAGGCUCUG
rnacentral:rRNA from 1 species